rnacentral:rRNA from 1 species
AUUGAACGCUGGCGGUAUGCUUUACACAUGCAAGUCGAACGGGCUAUGGAGCUUGCUCCAUAGUUAGUGGCGAACGGGUGAGUAAUGCGUCGGAACGUACCGAGUAAUGGGGGAUAACGCACCGAAAGGUGUGCUAAUACCGCAUACGCCCCGAGGGGGAAAGCAGGGGAUCGUAAGACCUUGCGUUAUUCGAGCGGCCGACGUCUGAUUAGCUAGUUGGUGGGGUAAAGGCCUACCAAGGCGACGAUCAGUAGCGGGUCUGAGAGGAUGAUCCGCCACACUGGGACUGAGACACGGCCCAGACUCCUACGGGAGGCUG